rnacentral:tRNA from 1 species
GAAAGAGGCCCGCCGCAAUGGAGGCCGCUACCCUCCAUGUACUUCGGUUGAACUCCGAUGAUCUUUCG